GCCUUUGUGGUGUAGUGGUCAGCACACUCGACGCGUAUUCCAGAGGUCUGUGUUUCGAAUACCGCCGAAGGCG
rnacentral:tRNA from 1 species